GUUUUGCUGAUUUAUGUCGUCAAUUGUAUCAGUAUCAGUGACACUUGUAACGUUCACGUUCUGAUGCUAAUCCAUACAGAAUUCUCCCUAUCUUUUCUACACUAGUAAUAAAGCAUUUUCUUCGACUUCGAGAAUUUAAGAUGAGUGCAGUGUUUCACGUGACCAAGCAGACUCAUUUGCAGCGGCAUAUUUUGUCAAAGGAAGACAGAGAGCAGGCGCAGCCCUAUGACUAACCCCCCCCCCCCCCAAUAAUCAUAGAAACUUCGAUAAUGGUCCCCUAAAAUGAAUAAAAAUUCCUAUACCUAAUUAGGUAUCACAAACAAAUGCAGCAUUACAAACGUGGACAUUGAAAAGAUGAUCACAAUGGCUAUCGAACUCCACAAUGACCUUUUGACCAAUGUUGUUUUUUUAAAAGCUUAGACUGUACGGCCUUAGACUGUACAUGUAACGAAACCAAACAGACAUGUAACGACAUCCUCGGGACCAGCAAAGACUUUCCUGCAGGGAACUGUAUCAGGGAAAAGAAGGUCAGACAUGUAACGAGAUCCUCGGGACCAGCAAAGACUUUCCUGCAGGGAACUGUAUCAGGGAAAAGAAGGACAGACAGUCACAUGGGGACGCGACGGGCUGGCUUGUCUAUGUAAGAGAUUCUAAUCCUGGCAAAAGACAGUGAAGAGUGGAGACAGGCGGUUCUCAGAUCCUGUAUGGUGCACCAACUUUCUACCCUAAUUUUAUGACCCUAAAAAAAAACAAAACGAAUGGUUAUUUCAACACAAAAGAACCAACAACCGUGAAGUAUAAUGCAAGUAGAUUUUAUAAGAUGCUUAUACAAUAAAUAUUUUGAUGAUAUUCAUACUUUAUUCGGUUUAAAAGGACAAAGUAGUAGAAGGUAGCUCAUCCGUAUGAUAGUAGAUGUCUAUGUGAUUGCAAAUAUGUUUGCAAAAGAAAAACAACGGUGAAUUAUCACUUUGCUUUAAAAAUUUGUUUGUUUGUUAUGGUUGACUUUUAACUAGGUAAAACAAAAUGUACAUAAAUAAACUUAAAUGAUAUUACUAGGAAAUACAUAGCUUCUCAACUGCUGAAUAAAGUUGUAAUACUUAAGUAAAUGAAAAACCAGGAGGUAAAAACAAACAAAACAAAAUGAUGAUGGUCUUUGGUAAUAGAUUGCAGGGUACCAUGACAUCUUCAAAACAAGAAAAUCAGACAAUAAAUAAUUUUUUUUUACAUGUUAAAUAGCUUUCACAUCAAUGGCAGACUAUUUAUUUUUCAUAUUUUUUUUUCUAUUAUAUUAUUAUGUUUACAAUUCAACCACAUAUGUGAAUAUAGUGUACAUCAAAUAUUAUGACUACAGAUCUUGUACAUUGUUAAUUGCAGAACGUAUGUCAAAACAUGCACAUAUAAAAUGCAUUGUUAAGGAAUACAAACUGAAAAAUACUGUUUCAAAGUUAAUGAUACUUGAUUUGUUUGUUUACAUGUUUCGGAUGUUCGUACAGAAUUGAAGAUUAUUACAUCCUAACCCAAAUCUGCCGAAGGACGGUGGGAGAUGGUAGCUGGCAAGGUUCAAAGUUAGUUUGAAAUUUAGUCUAGCUGGGCUUAAACAACACAAGUCUGAAAGUAAAAUGUUUUGUUUGUAAAAUCUUUUAGAUGUUUCGAAUGUUCCUUCAGAGUUGAAGAUAAUUUAAUUCCUUGUCCAAACAGGACAACAGGGAAUGGGAGCAGGCAGGGUUUUUAACCCUGGACCAUCAAUAUGUCAGAACGACAGUCCAGCGCCCAAACCGCAUGACCAGGCAGCCAUCCACAGUACAGUAAGUACAUGAAGCAAAGGUGCUACAAAGUUGUGUAGUCAGCACACUGACUGACCCAUAACUUUCUCACUUUUACCAAGAUGGUGGCCAGAUAAUCUUUCACAACUGUUUAUCAGUGUAUGGAUUCAAAUAUAAUAUUCUGCAUUGAAAGUAGCAAAUAGGAAUAAAAAUGAUAUAAGAAUUGUCAAGUUUUCACCUUUGUAACUAAAAUAUUUUUUAUCUAUUAUCGUUCAGAUAUUAAAAAUCCUGGCUCCUUUUGUGUAAAUGAAACAAAAAAAAAAGAAUUAUAUGUGAUCACUUUCUAUUUGCUCAAAUUUCAUAGAAAUUUAAUUUCAAUAUACGGAGCAGAUUUUCAUGAACUAUAGUCACAUGUCCCUCUUUGGUGUUAAAGAACAGAUGAGGACAAAACGUAACAAAAAUAUAUUUCUAAUGAACAGUUUUAAUAUGUAUAUGAUACAAAAAGUUAAUCAUUCAACUCUCAAUAGAAUACAUAGCUCUUCAUUAGUCUGAGUAUUGUAUAGGUGAAUGCUCAUAGCUUACUAUAUCACAGAUAUAACAUUUAAAAAAAUAUUGCCACUUAAAUAAAUAUAUUUUGUGUUGUUACAUAAGUAUGUCAUGAGAUUUCUACAAAUACAUGGUGCUUUGUCUGCAUCAGCAUGACAUUGUUAAAGUAUUUAUCCACUCAACCAAAAGUGUCCCAGUAUUAGAAAUCAGUAAACUGAGUAGAAGGGGCCAGUCAUUAAAAAAAUAUAAUUAAUAAUGACAAUUUAUUUAAAUUGCGCUGUUAAUAAACAUAAUGAAGGCUUUAAUAUGUUAAUUAAUGACAAUGGAAGUAAAAAUGUUUUUGAAAAUUAUUAACAAUAUAAUAGCAAUGCUAAAUAGCAACCAUCAUCAUCAUAAAAAAAUUAAACAUGGUCAUACAUAAACAUGGUCAUAUUUAAUUCACUUGUAUUUUUAAAAAUAUGAUUAACAAACUGUUUUAGAAAAGAAAAUCCACACAUUUUUAGCAACUAAGGUAUAUUUGAUUAUUAAAAAUGCUUAAUUGUUUGUUAUUUCAUUGAACAGAAGAACAAAAGUAUACAUUGUUAGUUAUUUCUAGAGUAUGAUUUCCAAAAACCAGUUUUUUAAAAAGCUUAUAGGUGUCUGAAACCUUUCCUUGAUUAUUCACUGACUUGUAAAUAAAUCCUUGUAAAAAAAAAUGCAUUCAAUUAAAUUAAUUUUGCAACAAUAUAACAUAGACAAUUACAUUUCAUUCAACAAAUACAAAAUUAAAUAAAAAAUAAUUUAUUUGUAGAAAUAAAAUUUCAGAUCCUCAUGUAUAAAUGAGUUACAACCAAAUGAAUUUUGACAAAACUUAAAUAAAACAACCAAAUUGAUAACCAAGAUGUGGUCAGAAAAAAGGUACACUGAUAAGGUUUGUUAGAAAUACUCUUUCAAGGGAAGUUUUGUAUUUGCUUCUCACCUAAAAGUAAAUGUAAUCCUGACUUGAAAAAAAAAAUUAAAAAUGAAUAACUGAAAAUAGAAGUUCCACUCGAUUGGUAUCUAAAACUAAACAUUCCUCUCACAUGUAAAAAAAAUGAUCCUUGCAAUUACCCUAUAUAUAAGUUAACCCCAUUUUAUCCAUUAGCAAUAAUACAUUUGUACUUUAAAGUAAAUAGCCAUGCUCUUAUUUGUCAAUCACUAUUGUAAGAAAAUGUACUUCAAUCAGUUUCAAAUGUAAAUGAUAAGCCCUAUAAGGAGCAUAAAUGUGUGAACAUAUGUAUAAAAACAUAUUUGCACAGUUGAUAGUAUGUCAGAUACAAGAGGAAAAAAAA
rnacentral:sRNA from 1 species